rnacentral:lncRNA from 1 species
AGAUGGGCACGUCACCGGCGGAGCCAUGGCCACAUCACCUUGAAGCUUCUUCGGCCACUGCGAACUCGCCCUCUGUUCUCCUGGCCAUGGAAUUUGUGAUCGAUGACCUGUCCACCGUCGCGCGUGGGUGGUUCGCUGAACUCCAUAGGCGGGUCCAAACCCAACGCCGUCUCCAUCUGCGCCUCCCUCGCCAACGUGUUCGCCGACUUCGACCACUGGAUCCGCCCUCAAAAGGUGAGAGAUCCUCCUUCAUGUCCGCCAGGCUUCCCACGUCGUGUAGCACUCGUCGCGUUAGGAUUUAUGCAGAGAAGAGUGAUUGGGGGGUUGUCGGCGGGUGUACGGCGGCGCUUCGCCGCCGUCGGACUCGCCCAGCUCUGUAUGGAGGAUGGCGACGACCCUGGCAUCGUUGGAUUGAAAAAGGGUGGUCACGAUUAAAGUUAGUAGUAACCUGUUGGCCCCUCCGAUCCUAGCCGCCGAUCAAGCCGCCAACGACCAAGAUUAGACGGCCCUGUACCGUUUCAUCCGGGCGAUCUUGGGCCGUUGGAUCGAAAUCCAGUGACCCCGGGUGCGUACCGAUUCAUCAUUUAAUCUGGGCCGUCUAUUGUAAUCUGUGCGGCCGAGAUCCCACAAUACCCUUUCGGCUGCGUAAUAUUGCAAAAGAGUCCCUGAUUAGUUUAAAAAUAAACCCGCCAUCCUAUGCGGCUGUACACUGAGUCUUGAAAUAUUUGCGACGUAGUCCCUGUGUUUUCUGUAAAUGGUGCGCUCGGUCCAGAGAGCAGGAAAUCAAAGGAAUUCAUUUAGAAAAUACAUUUUUUUUGUGAGAAUAAUUAUAGAAACUUAAUUAAUUCCUAGAAAAUGCAUUUUAACUCCUUUUAAUCUAUCCCAGUCCCUAUAAUUUUGUAUUAAUAUUGUUUAAUACUUAGUGUCUCUGUUUUAACACGAAAAUGGUAUUAAAAUUUAUUUCUUAGCUAAUCUCGUAUCAAAUACAUAAAACCUUAGGAAAUUUGUAUCUCCUCCAUUUUAACUCCGAUUUGAUCCGUUCAAGUUCCGUUAGUCUCGUAGCAACGCGUAGAUUAUUAUUAUGCAGUUUCUCUUAUGUUUGAUGUAAUGUUAAUUUUGUCUAUACCGUAUCUGUUUGUAUUGCUACGACUAGCAGCGAGGUUUCGAGUCACCUGAAGAUCACCCUGGUAACUGGAAUCUCAAGUGCCAGGCAAGUUGUGCCCUUGAUCACUUACUUUUCCCAGCCAUGUUCUUAUUAAUUAUAAUGAUCUGCAUAGGUUAAUUUUGAUGGGACCUAAUAGGUUACCCUAGUUUUGGCUAUCUUUAUACCUUGUUUACCACUGAAAUAUUUUUGGGUAGUACCUGCUAUUGCUUUAUGUGGAUCUGGGUAUGAAGAUACUUUAUUCAUAAUUACUCUUUUAUUCUCUUUUAUUAUUACUGUUCAUGUUAAGAUCAUUAUGUUAAUGGGAACAUGGAGCGACCACCCGGGAAAACAGUGCUACCACAAGGGUUUAAUGGGACGCCCUUGGAUGAUUAACUAGGAAAGCUAGUGGAGGUCUUCCUUACCCGAAAGGGGCAAGGGCAGUAGGGGAGUGGUCAGUGUAGGGAGGUCCUUGGGUUGAUUUUGCUGCGAUGGCGGUCAGACAAGAACCCUGCACUGGAGCUUCCUAUAAACUGUAGCGGGAUUUCUGAAGCUAGUGGAACUUUGUAAAGGCCUCGUAGUGUUAUCCUGCCUCGCCUCCUCGGUAGAGGUGUAUGGGAUUGGCCAUCUCUUGGCAGAUGGGUAACAUGACUUGUGGGUAAAGAUGCGCAACCUCUGCAGAGUGUAAAACUGGUAUACUAGCCGUGCUCACGGUCAUGAGCGGCUCGGACCCUCACAUGAUUAAAUAUGGAACUUAAAUUUAAUUUGACAUUUGCAUCACAUUUGGGAUUAUUUUACUAUUACUGUUCUUUAUUAUUAUUAAGGUUUGGUAUUUACUUACACUUAGUAAUUGCUAAUAAAAUUUUGACCAACUUCUAAAAGCAAUGCUCAGCCUCAGCCUUUACUUCAUUGAUUAGCCUUACACUUCAUGAACUCCCACCUUUUGUGAGUUCAUGCCACAUUAUUCCCCACAACUUGUUGAGCGAUGAACGUAUGUGAGCUCACUCUUGCUGUCUCACACCCCCCCACAGGAGAAGAACAGGUGGUUCAGGAGGAGCCACAAGGCGAGGAGUAUGAUCUGAUCUAGGUGGUGUUUCUCAGUCGACAUUGGCGCCGACGAUCCUUAGUUCGUUUUAUAUUUACUCUUUUAUUUUGUAAUAAGACUUCCGCUAUGUAAUAAAUACUCUGAUGAUUGUGACAUUUAUCUCUAUACACUCUGUGAUUAUAUAUGUUGUCUUCUUUGGCGCAUGUAUGAGAUGCACCCGGCUUUGUCCUUUAAAACCGGGUGUUACAGAAGUGGUAUCAGAGGAAAUGUUGACUGUAGGACGAAACCUAGAUAGAAAUGGACAACCCUUACCUACUUAUCUUAUUCUGAUUCAUUCUACACUUACCUUACUCUGAUUCUUUCUACACUUACCUUGAUCCUGUCUCACCUUCUACUGUUCUACUCUGAUCAUUCUUACCUUUUCUAUUCUAAGACAAGAUGGAUUUCACACCUUGGAAUCCCUACCCCUAUGACAUUUUUAAGAGAUAGGAGACCUAAAAAAAUUUUAUUUUCUCUAUUAAAAAUGUUGGUUGAUUGUUCUGCUGAUCAAUGCCUGAUUUGCUUCUUUGAUUGAUUGAAGUAUUAUAUAUGGACAUCUUAGUAUGUGCCAGCAUAAGGUAAUAAAUUAGCUAUGGUAGGUAAAACAUUAAACUGCUUAGCUAAUAAAUCCCCCAAAGUAACAUGAUUGUAAUUACUCGCCUUGUCUACAAUUCUUCCUUUCUUACCCUAUAUUCCUAACCCAAAUGUGCUACCCCUAUACUGUUAGAAGAGAGCAGUAUAGAUUUGAUCCUUGGUAUGUCAUGGUUAAGAAAGGCAAAGCAGUAUAUACACUGUGCUAAGGGAACCGUAGAACUCACCAGUUCCAAAGAACAAAGAUUUGAAGUUGAGUUGGUCAUUGAUCUCUUACCUGAAACUGCUCCUAUUUCUAAACGGCUAUACAGAAUGUCCGUAGAAGAAUUAAAAGAACUUAAGAAGCAGUUAACUGAGUUACAGGAGGCGGGGUACAUUCGUCCGAGUUCCUCACCUUGGGGAGCACCGGUUCUGUUUGUACAGAAGAAGGAUGGAUCAAAAAAAAUGUGUGUGGAUUAUAGAUCUCUCAACGAUGUUACUGUGAAGAAUAAGUAUUCGUUGCCCCGUAUUGAGGAUUUAUUUGAUCAGAUGAGAGGUGCAAGGGUAUUCUCGAAGAUUGAUCUCCGAUCGGGUUAUUAUCAAAUGAAGAUUAGGCCAUCGGAUAUUCCCAAGACGGAUUCCUCGACCCGAUGUGGUUUAUAGGAGUUCACCGUUAUGUCAUUUGGAUUAACUAAUGCACCAGGCUAUUUUAUGGAUCUGAAGAAUAAGGUGUUUAUGGAGAAUUUGGACAGAUUCGUCGUGGUAUUCAUCGACGAUAUUAUUAUUUAUUCCAAGAGUGAUAGUGAUCAUGAGGAACAUCCGAGAUUGGUGCUACAAAAGCUACGAGAUAAUCAACUCUACACCGAGUAUAGCAAAUGCGAGUUUUGGAUCGGUGAGGUACCAUUCCUUACAUGUCAUUUCUAAUGGAGGAAUAUCAGUGGAUCCUGCUAAAGUCAAGGAGAUAGUGGCGUGGAGCAUACCCACUAUAGUUACUGAGGUCCGGAGUUUCUUGGGGCUUGCAGGCUAUUAUCGGAGAUUUAUUGAAGGGUUCUCUAAGAUUGCCAAGCCUAUGACCUCACUUUUGGAGAAAGGAAGAGAAUUCAAGUGGAAUGAGAAAUGCCAAGAUAGCUUUGAUCAAUUAAAGAAGAGGUUGAUGUCAUCACAAGUGUUGGUUAUGCCAGAUCUACAGAAGGGAUUUGACAUUUAAUGUGAUGCAUGUGGCCAAGGCUUGGAAUGUGUGCUCAUGCAAGAAGGACAUGUGAUUGCCUACGUGUCUCGUCGGUUGCGGAAACACGAGUUGAACUACCCCACUCAAGACUUAGAACUGGCAGUCAUUGUGCAUGCGCUUAAGAUUUGGAGACAUUAUAUUAUGGGAACCGAGUGUCAAGUAUACACGAAUCAUAAGAGUUUGAAGUAUAUAUUCACUCAAAAGGAUCUCAACCUUAGGCAACACCGUUGGUUGGAGCUUAUUAAGGAUUAUGAUUUGGAGAUUCACUAUCACCCGGGCAAGGCAAAUUUGGUUGGAGAUGCCUUGAGUCGAAAGGAGCAUGUUCAUUCGGCUGUUGUUGCCCAGCUACCCGAUGAGAUUGUUGAGGAUUUUAGGAGACUUAACCUGGGGAUAGUAACUGCUCACACUGAAGAAGUUAUAUUGAUGUGGAACCUACCUUGGAGCAAGAAAUCCACAGAAGGACAGAUUGAUGAUGCUAAGAUACAAGAGAUUAAGGAUUUGAUUACUGAAGGUCGAGGUCCGGAAUUCACGAAGGAUGAGCAAGGCACAAUAUGGUUCAAGGAUAGGAUAUGUGUGGCUGAUAUUGAAAGCCUUCGUGAGACUAUUUUAAAGGAGGCCCAUGACUUGGAUUAUUCUAUUCAUCCUGGUAGUACUAAGAUGUAUCAGGAUUUGAGGCAGAAGUACUGAUGGUAUGAAUUGGAGAGAUAUGUGGCUACACAUGUGGCUAUGUGCGAUGUGUCAAAGAGUUAAGGCUGAACACCAAAGGCCAGCUGGACUAUUGCAUCCACUGAAGAUACCCGAGUGGAAAUGGGAAGAGAUCGGUAUGGAUUUUAUUACUGGAUUGCCUCGCACACAGAAAGGAUAUGAUGCUAUAUGGGUGAUUGUGGAUAGAUUGACUAAAGUGGCUCACUUUAUUCCUGUCAAGACUACUUAUAAGGUAUCUCAAUCGGCAGAGUUAUAUAUCGCUCGGAUUGUGUCUCUACACGAUGUACCAAAGAAGAUCGUUUUGGAUAGAGGAUCACAAUUUACCUCAAGAUUUUGGAAAAGUUUUCAAGAGAAUGUGGAUACGAAGUUGAAUGUUAGUUCGGCCUACCUCAGACUGAAAGGACUAAUCAAGUAUUGGAAGACAUGUUGAGAGCUUGUGCUCUUCAGCAUGGUAGUAGUUGGGACAAGAGUCUACUUUAUGCUGAGUUCUCAUAUAAUAAUAGUUACCAGGCUAGUCUAAAAGAUGUCACUGUUCGAGACUCUGUAUGGCAAGAAAUGCAGGACUCCUCUAUUUUUGGACCAGACUAGAGGAAGACAAUUCUUUGGGCCUGAACCUAUUCAAGAGGCAGAAAAAAAAACCAAGUCCGUAUAAUUCGGGAGAACUUGAGGGUAGCUCAAACCAGGAAAGAGAGCUAUGCUGAUAAUAGAAGGAGACCAUUGGAAUUUGAGGAAGGUGAUCCUGUGUACCUCAAGGUGUCACCACUUCGUGGAAUGAGGAGAUUUAAAGUUAAGGGCAAAUUGUCCCCUCGCUAUAUUGGACCAUUCAGAGUUUUUAGGCAAGUUGGAGAGAUGGCCUAUCAACUCGAGCUACCUGAUAAUCUAUCUGAUGUGCAUAAUGUGUUCCAUGUGUCUCAACUUAAGAAGUGUCUUCGUGUCCCUGAGGAACAGUUACCAAUGGAAGAGCUCAGCGUUCAUGGUGAUUUGAUUUAUACGGAGUAUCAUGUCAAGAUUAUUGAUACUUUGACACGAGUUACAUGAAAUAAGGUGAUAAAGAUGUGCCAAGUGCAAUGGAGUCACCACGGGGAAGAUAAAGCUACGUGGGAGAGAGAAGAAGAGCUUCGCAUAGAUUUUCCCCAUCUUUUCCCUAGUCCUUCCUAAAUCUCGAGGACGAGAUUCUUUGUAAGGGGGGUAGGAUUUGUAAUAUCCACUUUUGUAAUCAGAGUAUAAAGAAAAUUAUAUUCCUGUAUACAUAUGUGUGUCAUCCAAGUUUAUCAUUUCAUGAGCACAUCACAUAUAACAAACAACUAAAUGACAAAAGGCACUUAAAUAAAAUAUACAUCAUGCUGGGAUUUAUUGUGUGUGUGCAUUUGGUGACAUAAAUAAAUCAACAUUCAAAUUGAGGAUUUAAUACCUACUUUGAAUAAAUAGAAUAGAAGGAGAGAAAUACUAUAAAAUACAAAAUAAAACUUAUAAAAAAAUCAUAUUGGCAAGUUCAAAUUUAAACCUAACCCAAGGAAAAAUUUUCCACAAAAAGAAUUUCUUUUAGAAUUAAAGUUUUUGAAUUUGGAAAGGAAUGAAAGAAUAACAAAUAAAAAAAAAGAAAGCAGUCUUCGGCCGAGUGGGCCUCUAUUCCAUGCUUUCGGCCCAUCUUCGGAUCCAGCUCACGUAGCCCAACUCCAUUUUGCCACCAAACAUCUCCACCGCGCGACCUGCUUCUCUUUUGGGCAUGCGGACCUCGCAACUCAGUCUCCUGGCGCGCGCAUAGUACCAUUACCAUUUCACUGACAGGUAGGCCCAUCUGCUCAGCUUCGUCAACAAACUCGCGGAGGAAGCGCGGUCUGGUGCGAUCUCGCCGGAAUCCGUUGACUGGCUUCGGACCGAGCUCGGCCCUUGGUGGUAUAAAAAAAAGAAGACGUUCUCGCCAGCCUAGCUCUAUCCUACACGCGCGCGCGCCGCAUCCAUUUCCCAUGCCGCUGACGAAUGGGUCUGCGCUGGCAGGCUUCGUCCCCAACUGAUUUUCGCCAUCCGCGCGCGGGUAUGGUCAAGAUCCGCUCGACCGGUCUUCUCCAUGCUCGCAUUGGGGUGAAGCUAAUCCCGCAUCCAUCGCGGGCUCAACUGGUCAGCGCAACAGAUGACGCCGAUCCCGCGCUGGCCGUCGUGGCUUCCGCUGCGGACCAACUACCUGAACCGCGUAUCGCUGCAGCGAAGUCCGCCCCAGCAACAGCUCUUCUUCUCAGCCGGAAGAUUAGGCCAGGUUGUUGGGUCGCCCGGCAAUCGCGCUAACCACAGCUACACCUCGUCGCAGCUUCAAAAGCGGACAGGCCCCUGGUUCUUCCCCAAGUCGCGCGCACCUAGCAUCCCUUGGCCACACCAAAUCCGACCCUGAGCCAAACCAGUAAAGUGCUGUGUGUUUGUCACGGACAGCAGUGAGAGAAAGCGAGGAGACAUGGACUGGGGGAAGCCGCCUCCGUCAUUCAUCGUCCACAAUGCCGAUGGGGCCUGGGGUCAAUUGCUUGCUGGUGAUGAUGCUUCGUCGGGGGACCGCACCGAUCCGCAGAUGGGGUAUCGCCGCGCUAUGCACUGGUAUUCUCCCUUCUUGUUCGUGCCCCACAUUUCGCCCUCGUUUGCCCUCGGUAAUGCUCGGAUCCGGCCCUUGAAGCUCAGAUGGGCACGUCACCGGCGGAGCCAUGGCCACAUCACCUUGAAGCUUCUUCGGCCACUGCGAACUCGCCCUCUGUUCUCCUGGCCAUGGAAUUUGUGAUCGAUGACCUGUCCACCGUCGCGCGUGGGUGGUUCGCUGAACUCCAUAGGCGGGUCCAAACCCAACGCCGUCUCCAUCUGCGCCUCCCUCGCCAACGUGUUCGCCGACUUCGACCACUGGAUCCGCCCUCAAAAGGUGAGAGAUCCUCCUUCAUGUCCGCCAGGCUUCCCACGUCGUGUAGCACUCGUCGCGUUAGGAUUUAUGCAGAGAAGAGUGAUUGGGGGGUUGUCGGCGGGUGUACGGCGGCGCUUCGCCGCCGUCGGACUCGCCCAGCUCUGUAUGGAGGAUGGCGACGACCCUGGCAUCGUUGGAUUGAAAAAGGGUGGUCACGAUUAAAGUUAGUAGUAACCUGUUGGCCCCUCCGAUCCUAGCCGCCGAUCAAGCCGCCAACGACCAAGAUUAGACGGCCCUGUACCGUUUCAUCCGGGCGAUCUUGGGCCGUUGGAUCGAAAUCCAGUGACCCCGGGUGCGUACCGAUUCAUCAUUUAAUCUGGGCCGUCUAUUGUAAUCUGUGCGGCCGAGAUCCCACAAUACCCUUUCGGCUGCGUAAUAUUGCAAAAGAGUCCCUGAUUAGUUUAAAAAUAAACCCGCCAUCCUAUGCGGCUGUACACUGAGUCUUGAAAUAUUUGCGACGUAGUCCCUGUGUUUUCUGUAAAUGGUGCGCUCGGUCCAGAGAGCAGGAAAUCAAAGGAAUUCAUUUAGAAAAUACAUUUUUUUGUGAGAAUAAUUAUAGAAACUUAAUUAAUUCCUAGAAAAUGCAUUUUAACUCCUUUUAAUCUAUCCCAGUCCCUAUAAUUUUGUAUUAAUAUUGUUUAAUACUUAGUGUCUCUGUUUUAACACGAAAAUGGUAUUAAAAUUUAUUUCUUAGCUAAUCUCGUAUCAAAUACAUAAAACCUUAGGAAAUUUGUAUCUCCUCCAUUUUAACUCCGAUUUGAUCCGUUCAAGUUCCGUUAGUCUCGUAGCAACGCGUAGAUUAUUAUUAUGCAGUUUCUCUUAUGUUUGAUGUAAUGUUAAUUUUGUCUAUACCGUAUCUGUUUGUAUUGCUACGACUAGCAGCGAGGUUUCGAGUCACCUGAAGAUCACCCUGGUAAUUGGAAUCUCAAGUGCCAGGCAAGUUGUGCCCUUGAUCACUUACUUUUCCCAGCCAUGUUCUUAUUAAUUAUAAUGAUCUGCAUAGGUUAAUUUUGAUGGGACCUAAUAGGUUACCCUAGUUUUGGCUAUCUUUAUACCUUGUUUACCACUGAAAUAUUUUUGGGUAGUACCUGCUAUUGCUUUAUGUGGAUCUGGGUAUGAAGAUACUUUAUUCAUAAUUACUCUUUUAUUCUCUUUUAUUAUUAUUGUUCAUGUUAAGAUCAUUAUGUUAAUGGGAACAUGGAGCGACCACCCGGGAAAACAGUGCUACCACAAGGGUUUAAUGGGACGCCCUUGGCUGAUUAACUAGGAAAGCUAGUGGAGGUCUUCCUUACCCGAAAGGGGCAAGGGCAGUAGGGGAGUGGUCAGUGUAGGGAGGUCCUUGGGUUGAUUUUGCUGCGAUGGCGGUCAGACAAGAACCCUGCACUGGAGCUUCCUAUAAACUGUAGCGGGAUUUCUAAAGCUAGUGGAACUUUGUAAAGGCCUCGUAGUGUUACCCUGCCUCGCCUCCUCGGUAGAGGUGUAUGGGAUUGGCCAUCUCUUGGCAGAUGGGUAACAUGACUUGUGGGUAAAGAUGCGCAACCUCUGCAGAGUGUAAAACUGGUAUACUAGCCGUGCUCACGGUCAUGAGCGGCUCGGACCCUCACAUGAUUAAAUAUGGAACUUAAAUUUAAUUUGACAUUUGCAUCACAUUUGGGAUUAUUUUACUAUUACUGUUCUUUAUUAUUAUUAAGGUUUGGUAUUUACUUACACUUAGUAAUUGCUAAUAAAAUUUUGACCAACUUCUAAAAGCAAUGCUCAGCCUCAGCCUUUACUUCAUUGAUUAGCCUUACACUUCAUGAACUCCCACCUUUUGUGAGUUCAUGCCACAUUAUUCCCCACAACUUGUUGAGCGAUGAACGUAUGUGAGCUCACUCUUGCUGUCUCACACCCCCCCACAGGAGAAGAACAGGUGGUUCAGGAGGAGCCACAAGGCGAGGAGUAUGAUCUGAUCUAGGUGGUGUUUCUCAGUCGACAUUGGCGCCGACGAUCCUUAGUUCGUUUUAUAUUUACUCUUUUAUUUUGUAAUAAGACUUCCGCUAUGUAAUAAAUACUCUGAUGAUUGUGACAUUUAUCUCUAUACACUCUGUGAUUAUAUAUGUUGUCUUCUUUGGCGCAUGUAUGAGAUGCACCCGGCUUUGUCCUUUAAAACCGGGUGUUACAGAAGUGGUAUCAGAGGAAAUGUUGACUGUAGGACGAAACCUAGAUAGAAAUGGACAACCCUUACCUACUUAUCUUAUUCUGAUUCAUUCUACACUUACCUUACUCUGAUUCUUUCUACACUUACCUUGAUCCUGUCUCACCUUCUACUGUUCUACUCUGAUCAUUCUUACCUUUUCUAUUCUAAGACAAGAUGGAUUUCACACCUUGGAAUCCCUACCCCUAUGACAUUUUUAAGAGAUAGGAGACCUAAAAAAAUUUUAUUUUCUCUAUUAAAAAUGUUGGUUGAUUGUUCUGCUGAUCAAUGCCUGAUUUGCUUCUUUGAUUGAUUGAAGUAUUAUAUAUGGACAUCUUAGUAUGUGCCAGCAUAAGGUAAUAAAUUAGCUAUGGUAGGUAAAACAUUAAACUGCUUAGCUAAUAAAUCCCCCAAAGUAACAUGAUUGUAAUUACUCGCCUUGUCUACAAUUCUUCCUUUCUUACCCUAUAUUCCUAACCCAAAUGUGCUACCCCUAUACUGUUAGAAGAGAGCAGUAUAGAUUUGAUCCUUGGUAUGUCAUGGUUAAGAAAGGCAAAGCAGUAUAUACACUGUGCUAAGGGAACCGUAGAACUCACCAGUUCCAAAGAACAAAGAUUUGAAGUUGAGUUGGUCAUUGAUCUCUUACCUGAAACUGCUCCUAUUUCUAAACGGCUAUACAGAAUGUCCGUAGAAGAAUUAAAAGAACUUAAGAAGCAGUUAACUGAGUUACAGGAGGCGGGGUACAUUCGUCCGAGUUCCUCACCUUGGGGAGCACCGGUUCUGUUUGUACAGAAGAAGGAUGGAUCAAAAAAAAAUGUGUGUGGAUUAUAGAUCUCUCAACGAUGUUACUGUGAAGAAUAAGUAUUCGUUGCCCCGUAUUGAGGAUUUAUUUGAUCAGAUGAGAGGUGCAAGGGUAUUCUCGAAGAUUGAUCUCCGAUCGGGUUAUUAUGAAAUGAAGAUUAGGCCAUCGGAUAUUCCCAAGACGGAUUCCUCGACCCGAUGUGGUUUAUAGGAGUUCACCGUUAUGUCAUUUGGAUUAACUAAUGCACCAGGCUAUUUUAUGGAUCUGAAGAAUAAGGUGUUUAUGGAGAAUUUGGACAGAUUCGUCGUGGUAUUCAUCGACGAUAUUAUUAUUUAUUCCAAGAGUGAUAGUGAUCAUGAGGAACAUCCGAGAUUGGUGCUACAAAAGCUACGAGAUAAUCAACUCUACACCGAGUAUAGCAAAUGCGAGUUUUGGAUCGGUGAGGUACCAUUCCUUACAUGUCAUUUCUAAUGGAGGAAUAUCAGUGGAUCCUGCUAAAGUCAAGGAGAUAGUGGCGUGGAGCAUACCCACUAUAGUUACUGAGGUCCGGAGUUUCUUGGGGCUUGCAGGCUAUUAUCGGAGAUUUAUUGAAGGGUUCUCUAAGAUUGCCAAGCCUAUGACCUCACUUUUGGAGAAAGGAAGAGAAUUCAAGUGGAAUGAGAAAUGCCAAGAUAGCUUUGAUCAAUUAAAGAAGAGGUUGAUGUCAUCACAAGUGUUGGUUAUGCCAGAUCUACAGAAGGGAUUUGACAUUUAAUGUGAUGCAUGUGGCCAAGGCUUGGAAUGUGUGCUCAUGCAAGAAGGACAUGUGAUUGCCUACGUGUCUCGUCGGUUGCGGAAACACGAGUUGAACUACCCCACUCAAGACUUAGAACUGGCAGUCAUUGUGCAUGCGCUUAAGAUUUGGAGACAUUAUAUUAUGGGAACCGAGUGUCAAGUAUACACGAAUCAUAAGAGUUUGAAGUAUAUAUUCACUCAAAAGGAUCUCAACCUUAGGCAACACCGUUGGUUGGAGCUUAUUAAGGAUUAUGAUUUGGAGAUUCACUAUCACCCGGGCAAGGCAAAUUUGGUUGGAGAUGCCUUGAGUCGAAAGGAGCAUGUUCAUUCGGCUGUUGUUGCCCAGCUACCCGAUGAGAUUGUUGAGGAUUUUAGGAGACUUGACCUGGGGAUAGUAACUGCUCACACUGAAGAAGUUAUAUUGAUGUGGAACCUACCUUGGAGCAAGAAAUCCACAGAAGGACAGAUUGAUGAUGCUAAGAUACAAGAGAUUAAGGAUUUGAUUACUGAAGGUCGAGGUCCGGAAUUCACGAAGGAUGAGCAAGGCACAAUAUGGUUCAAGGAUAGGAUAUGUGUGGCUGAUAUUGAAAGCCUUCGUGAGACUAUUUUAAAGGAGGCCCAUGACUUGGAUUAUUCUAUUCAUCCUGGUAGUACUAAGAUGUAUCAGGAUUUGAGGCAGAAGUACUGAUGGUAUGAAUUGGAGAGAUAUGUGGCUACACAUGUGGCUAUGUGCGAUGUGUCAAAGAGUUAAGGCUGAACACCAAAGGCCAGCUGGACUAUUGCAUCCACUGAAGAUACCCGAGUGGAAAUGGGAAGAGAUCGGUAUGGAUUUUAUUACUGGAUUGCCUCGCACACAGAAAGGAUAUGAUGCUAUAUGGGUGAUUGUGGAUAGAUUGACUAAAGUGGCUCACUUUAUUCCUGUCAAGACUACUUAUAAGGUAUCUCAAUCGGCAGAGUUAUAUAUCGCUCGGAUUGUGUCUCUACACGAUGUACCAAAGAAGAUCGUUUUGGAUAGAGGAUCACAAUUUACCUCAAGAUUUUGGAAAAGUUUUCAAGAGAAUGUGGAUACGAAGUUGAAUGUUAGUUCGGCCUACCUCAGACUGAAAGGACUAAUCAAGUAUUGGAAGACAUGUUGAGAGCUUGUGCUCUUCAGCAUGGUAGUAGCUGGGACAAGAGUCUACUUUAUGCUGAGUUCUCAUAUAAUAAUAGUUACCAGGCUAGUCUAAAAGAUGUCACUGUUCGAGACUCUGUAUGGCAAGAAAUGCAGGACUCCUCUAUUUUUGGACCAGACUAGAGGAAGACAAUUCUUUGGGCCUGAACCUAUUCAAGAGGCAGAAAAAAAACCAAGUCCGUAUAAUUCGGGAGAACUUGAGGGUAGCUCAAACCAGGAAAGAGAGCUAUGCUGAUAAUAGAAGGAGACCAUUGGAAUUUGAGGAAGGUGAUCCUGUGUACCUCAAGGUGUCACCACUUCGUGGAAUGAGGAGAUUUAAAGUUAAGGGCAAAUUGUCCCCUCGCUAUAUUGGACCAUUCAGAGUUUUUAGGCAAGUUGGAGAGAUGGCCUAUCAACUCGAGCUACCUGAUAAUCUAUCUGAUGUGCAUAAUGUGUUCCAUGUGUCUCAACUUAAGAAGUGUCUUCGUGUCCCUGAGGAACAGUUACCAAUGGAAGAGCUCAGCGUUCAUGGUGAUUUGAUUUAUACGGAGUAUCAUGUCAAGAUUAUUGAUACUUUGACACGAGUUACAUGAAAUAAGGUGAUAAAGAUGUGCCAAGUGCAAUGGAGUCACCACGGGGAAGAUAAAGCUACGUGGGAGAGAGAAGAAGAGCUUCGCAUAGAUUUUCCCCAUCUUUUCCCUAGUCCUUCCUAAAUCUCGAGGACGAGAUUCUUUGUAAGGGGGGUAGGAUUUGUAAUAUCCACUUUUGUAAUCAGAGUAUAAAGAAAAUUAUAUUCCUGUAUACAUAUGUGUGUCAUCCAAGUUUAUCAUUUCAUGAGCACAUCACAUAUAACAAACAACUAAAUGACAAAAGGCACUUAAAUAAAAUAUACAUCAUGCUGGGAUUUAUUGUGUGUGUGCAUUUGGUGACAUAAAUAAAUCAACAUUCAAAUUGAGGAUUUAAUACCUACUUUGAAUAAAUAGAAUAGAAGGAGAGAAAUACUAUAAAAUACAAAAUAAAACUUAUAAAAAAAUCAUAUUGGCAAGUUCAAAUUUAAACCUAACCCAAGGAAAAAUUUUCCACAAAAAGAAUUUCUUUUAGAAUUAAAGUUUUUGAAUUUGGAAAGGAAUGAAAGAAUAACAAAUAAAAAAAAGAAAGCAGUCUUCGGCCGAGUGGGCCUCUAUUCCAUGCUUUCGGCCCAUCUUCGGAUCCAGCUCACGUAGCCCAACUCCAUUUUGCCACCAAACAUCUCCACCGCGCGACCUGCUUCUCUUUUGGGCAUGCGGACCUCGCAACUCAGUCUCCUGGCGCGCGCAUAGUACCAUUACCAUUUCACUGACAGGUAGGCCCAUCUGCUCAGCUUCGUCAACAAACUCGCGGAGGAAGCGCGGUCUGGUGCGAUCUCGCCGGAAUCCGUUGACUGGCUUCGGACCGAGCUCGGCCCUUGGUGGUAUAAAAAAAAAGAAGACGUUCUCGCCAGCCUAGCUCUAUCCUACACGCGCGCGCGCCGCAUCCAUUUCCCAUGCCGCUGACGAAUGGGUCUGCGCUGGCAGGCUUCGUCCCCAACUGAUUUUCGCCAUCCGCGCGCGGGUAUGGUCAAGAUCCGCUCGACCGGUCUUCUCCAUGCUCGCAUUGGGGUGAAGCUAAUCCCGCAUCCAUCGCGGGCUCAACUGGUCAGCGCAACAGACGACGCCGAUCCCGCGCUGGCCGUCGUGGCUUCCGCUGCGGACCAACUACCUGAACCGCGUAUCGCUGCAGCGAAGUCCGCCCCAGCAACAGCUCUUCUUCUCAGCCGGAAGAUUAGGCCAGGUUGUUGGGUCGCCCGGCAAUCGCGCUAACCACAGCUACACCUCGUCGCAGCUUCAAAAGCGGACAGGCCCCUGGUUCUUCCCCAAGUCGCGCGCACCUAGCAUCCCUUGGCCACACCAAAUCCGACCCUGAGCCAAACCAGUAAAGUGCUGUGUGUUUGUCACAGACAGCAGUGAGAGAAAGCGAGGAGACAUGGACUGGGGGAAGCCGCCUCCGUCAUUCAUCGUCCACAAUGCCGAUGGGGCCUGGGGUCAAUUGCUUGCUGGUGAUGAUGCUUCGUCGGGGGACCGCACCGAUCCGCAGAUGGGGUAUCGCCGCGCUAUGCACUGGUAUUCUCCCUUCUUGUUCGUGCCCCACAUUUCGCCCUCGUUUGCCCUCGGUAAUGCUCGGAUCCGGCCCUUGAAGCUCAGAUGGGCACGUCACCGGCGGAGCCAUGGCCACAUCACCUUGAAGCUUCUUCGGCCACUGCGAACUCGCCCUCUGUUCUCCUGGCCAUGGAAUUUGUGAUCGAUGACCUGUCCACCGUCGCGCGUGGGUGGUUCGCUGAACUCCAUAGGCGGGUCCAAACCCAACGCCGUCUCCAUCUGCGCCUCCCUCGCCAACGUGUUCGCCGACUUCGACCACUGGAUCCGCCCUCAAAAGGUGAGAGAUCCUCCUUCAUGUCCGCCAGGCUUCCCACGUCGUGUAGCACUCGUCGCGUUAGGAUUUAUG